rnacentral:rRNA from 1 species
GUGGAUUAGAUACCCUGGUAGUCCACGCCAUAAACGUUGGGUGCUAGACGUCGGGGGUAUUGACCCCCUCGGUGUCGAAGCUAACGCAUUAAGCACCCCGCCUGGGGAGUACGGCCGCAAGGCUAAAACUCAAAGGAAUUGACGGGGGCCCGCACAAGCGGUGGAGCAUGUGGUUCAAUUCGAAGCAACGCGCAGAACCUUACCUGGGCUUGACAUCCGCGGAACCUCUCGGAAACGAGAGGGUGCCUUCGGGAGCCGCGAGACAGGUGCUGCACGGUCGUCGUCAGCU